UACGGGGGGGGCAAGCGUUGUUCGGAAUUACUGGGCGUAAAGGGCGCGUAGGCGGCCUGCUAAGUCGGAUGUGAAAUCCCUCGGCUCAACCGAGGAACUGCAUCCGAUACUGGCGGGCUUGAAUCCGGGAGAGGGAUGUGGAAUUCCAGGUGUAGCGGUGAAAUGCGUAGAUAUCUGGAGGAACACCGGUGGCGAAGGCGGCUCACUGGACCGGUAUUGACGCUGAGGUGCGAAAGCGUGGGGAGCAAACAGG
rnacentral:rRNA from 1 species